GGAGAGAUGACAGAGUGGCCGAAUGUGCGGCACUGGAAAUGCCGUGUCCUGGGAAACCGGGACCGGGGGUUCGAAUCCCCCUCUCUCCG
rnacentral:tRNA from 1 species